CAUGGUCUAGCAGGUCUAAUCAAGCAAAAUGAAUUUUAGUUUGACCCCCCGAAACCAAGUGAGCUACUUCAAAACAAUCAUAUGGACUAACCCGUCUCUGUUGCAAUAGAGUGGGAUGAUUUUCAAGUAGAGGCGACAAACCUAUCGAACUUGUAGAUAGCUGGUUACUUAAGAAAGGAAUAUUAGUUCAACCUUAGGUCUCCCAGUUAGCACAAAAACCUCGCAAGACUUAAGAGCCAUUCAAAUAAGGCACAGCUUAUUUGAAGCAGGACACAACCUACGACAUAGGGUAAUACACUUUUUCAAUACACACAAAGUGGGCCUAAAAGCAGCCACCUUUAAAAAAGCGUUAAAGCUUAGUGGUAAUUGUACUCAAAUACCUUAAUUUUUUUAAAACCCUUCAACAAUAUUAAGUAACUCCAUAAACCUAUGGAAGAUAUAAUGCUAGAACUAGUAACAAGAAAGUGAAUUUCUCCAAAAUGCAAGCUUAAGCCAGAAUAGACCACCUACUGGCAACUAACGUAACUGAUCUCACUAUAGCAACACCUACCAGAAAACCCUACACUAUCUUACGUUAACCUUACACUAGAGCAUUCAUGGAAAGAUUAAAAGAAAAAGAAGGAACUCGGCAAACCUUAACCCCGCCUG
rnacentral:rRNA from 1 species